rnacentral:rRNA from 1 species
AAUGAAUAGUCUGGGAAACUGCCUGAUGGAGGGGGAUAACUACUGGAAACGGUAGCUAAUACCGCAUAACGUCGCAAGACCAAAGAGGGGGACCUUCGGGCCUCUUGCCAUCAGAUGUGCCCAGAUGGGAUUAGCUAGUAGGUGGGGUAAUGGCUCACCUAGGCGACGAUCCCUAGCUGGUCUGAGAGGAUGACCAGCCACACUGGAACUGAGACACGGUCCGGACUCCUACGGGAGGCAGCAGUGGGGAAUAUUGCGCAAUGGGCGCAAGCCUGAUGCAGCCAUGCCGCGUGUGUGAAGAAGGCCUUCGGGUUGUAAAGCACUUUCAGCGAGGAGGAAGGUGGUGAGCUUAAUACGCUCAUCAAUUGACGUUACUCGCAGAAGAAGCACCGGCUAACUCCGUGCCAGCAGCCGCGGUAAUACGGAGGGUGCAAGCGUUAAUCGGAAUUACUGGGCGUAAAGCGCACGCAGGCGGUUUGUUAAGUCAGAUGUGAAAUCCCCGGG